UAGGAUGGGGCUCAGGCCUCUGAAGCCAGCGUAGGGCCGCAUCUGCACCCCGUUCGCUGCAGACUGUCCCAACUGAGGCGAGGACGACUCAAUGGGACAGACAUAGUCUGUGGAUUCAUCCGACCGUCGCCUCCUGAGGUCUUGUGGCGUGGCUGACAGCAGAGUCUGAGCGCCGGUGACCCACUGGCGAGCGAGGAUGCUGUACUGACCGAGUCCAAUGUCCUCGAGCCAGUCGCACACCUGCUCUGUGCUCCACUUCGAAAACGGCGUCUUCAGAUCUCUGAGUUGGUGGGAACAAAACAAAGACUGAAGAGCCAAUCGAGGCCCAGCUGUAGCUCUGAAGCCUCCCCUCUUGAAGUCUCCCAGCUCUGGGUCAUGAACCUGGACCGGACUACCUGACUGACUGCGACGGAUCCUUGGGGACAAAAAUACCAAUGAGAACAUGAACGGGAAUAUAAAUAUAUGUAGAGGACACCAAACAUGUGCAUUUCAAAACGUACUUCCCC